AGCGAACAUUGGCGGUAGGCUUAACACAUGCAAGUCGAGCGGGGACUUCGGUCCUAGCGGCGAACGGGUGAGGAAUGCUUGGGAAUCUGCCCAGUAGCGGGGGAUAACGUUUCGAAAGGAACGCUAAUACCGCAUAAGCCCUACGGGGGAACGGGGGGGAGCUUCGGACCUCUCACUAUUGGAUGAGCCCAAGUCGGAUUAGCUAGUUGGUGGGGUAAAGGCCUACCAAGGCGACGAUCCGUAGCUGGUCUGAGAGGAUGAUCAGCCACACUGGAACUGAGACACGGUCCAGACUCCUACGGGAGGCAGCAGUGGGGAAUAUUGGACAAUGGGCGAAAGCCUUAUCCAGCCAUGCCGCGUGUGUGAAGAAGGCCUUCGGGUUGUAAAGCACUUUAAGCGAGGAGGAAUGGCUCUUGGUUAAUAACCUUGAGCAGUGACGUUACUCGCAGAAUAAGCACCGGCUAACUCUGUGCCAGCCGCCGCGGUAA
rnacentral:rRNA from 1 species